rnacentral:rRNA from 1 species
UUUGACCUCGGAUCAGGUAGGAAUACCCGCUGAACUUAAGCAUAUCAAUAAUGCGGAGGAA